rnacentral:rRNA from 1 species
AUUGAACGCUGGCGGCAUGCCUUACACAUGCAAGUCGAACGGCAGCACGGGGCAACCUGGUGGCGAGUGGCGAACGGGUGAGUAAUGCAUCGGAACGUACCUUUCAGUGGGGGAUAACGUAGCGAAAGUUACGCUAAUACCGCAUAUUCUGUGAGCAGGAAAGCAGGGGAUCGCAAGACCUUGCGCUGAUUGAGCGGCCGAUGUCAGAUUAGCUAGUUGGUGAGGUAAAGGCUCACCAAGGCGACGAUCUGUAGCGGGUCUGAGAGGAUGAUCAGCCACACUGGGACUGGGACACGGCCCAGACUCCUACGGGAGGCAGCAGUGGGGAAUAUUGGACAAUGGGGGAAACCCUGAUCCAGCGACGCCGCGUGGGUGAAGAAGGCCUGCGGGUUGUAAAGCCCUUUCGGUAGGGACGAAAUCGUAUCAGCUAAUACCUGGUGCGGAUGACGGUACCGGCAUAAGAGGCACCGGCAAACAACGUGCCAGCCGCCGCGGUAACAC